UACGUAGGUGGCAAGCGUUAUCCGGAAUUAUUGGGCGUAAAGCGCGCGUAGGCGGUUUUUUAAGUCUGAUGUGAAAGCCCACGGCUCAACCGUGGAGGGUCAUUGGAAACUGGAAAACUUGAGUGCAGAAGAGGAAAGUGGAAUUCCAUGUGUAGCGGUGAAAUGCGCAGAGAUAUGGAGGAACACCAGUGGCGAAGGCGACUUUCUGGUCUGUAACUGACGCUGAUGUGCGAAAGCGUGGGGAUCAAACAGG
rnacentral:rRNA from 4 species